AGCACGUAUGAAGGAAACUGACUCCCCGUCAGUCAUGUGCUGGUGCGGCAGUGACAUGCGAAGACGGUGCGCCGUGUACAAGUGGAAUCUUGUGCCAAGCGGGUGACAGUCCCAUGCUGGCGUUCCCGCCCUCGAGCAGGCGCUGCACACGGUGUAUGCACUUUGUAAGUGGUGCAUCCCUUAGGUGGUAACCAUCACCUAAUGCUUCACAUUGACCUGAUGUCAAUAGCGAACAAGUACC
rnacentral:rRNA from 1 species